rnacentral:rRNA from 1 species
AACACCGAUGGCGAAGGCAGCCCCCUGGGUCAAGAUUGACGCUCAUGCACGAAAGCGUGGGGAGCAAACAGGAUUAGAUACCCUGGUAGUCCACGCCCUAAACGAUGUCUACUAGUUGUCGGGUUUUAAUUAACUUGGUAACGCAGCUAACGCGUGAAGUAGACCGCCUGGGGAGUA